CAGUUAAAUACACCAGCCACUGCAAAGAUCAGCCGCUGGUCCCAGACCACACAUGAGGUUGCGGUAGCGCAUGGAUAAAGGCAUUAGAUUCGCUGGAGACUCGCUGGUCACUAGAGAGCUGGAAGGCUUUUACUGGUUCAAUUCUGCUGUAGCUGCCACUGACUGCUCAUCAAUGUGAGAAGCUUUCCAGAUCAGUUAAAAUCAGCAGAUACUACUGUGAAGCUUCACACUCGCCUUGUGUCCUUGGCCCCUGUUAAUUCUGCGCACUGGCCCACACCUGUGAAGAUGAUGCGAGCCAAGGCCCUGUAAGUCCUCCGAGUACGGAUGAAUCCUCCAUUCAUUCUGCUUUCCACUCGGAGAAUGACGGACAGAGGGCAUGAACACAAUCAGAGGACAAGUAGACGGGUGUUUCCAGGAGCCAAUGAAAUAUUUUAUUUAUUUCAAUGGGAAAUCAAGCCAGCUGGCUCUUACAUGAAGCUAUCCCCUGGAAUUCACAAAUGCCACUUUCUUCUCCAUCGUGGAAGAAAAGAUACGUUGUAGUUUGGAACAAAGGUGAAACAAAAAAAUCCAAAAUUCCUGAAAAACGGGAUCGACAAAUUUUAGCGGCUGCCCUAACUCCAUGC
rnacentral:lncRNA from 1 species